rnacentral:lncRNA from 10 species
UGUUGGCCAGGCUGGUCUCGAACUCCUGACCUCAAGCGAUCCACCUGCCUCAGCCUCCCAAAGUGCUGGGAUUACAGGUGUGAGCCACCACGCCCAGCCCUAUUUAAUCCUUUUUAUAUUAACUAACAUUUAUUAAGUUUCUACUGUGUGCCAUGUAGGCUCUGGAGAUACAAAGUCCAAAAAGUCCAAUGCAAUGAAUUAUUGAUUUCAAAGAGCAAACCACCUAAUGGGGGAGAGAGUUAGGUAAACAGAUAAUUAUUUCAGAAUGUGGUACUGAGAGAGAUUGGAGUUAAGUACCAAAAUACCAAAAUACACACUCUAAGAGCCUUGUCACCUGAACCGGAAGGAUUUCUGAGACAACAGUGUUUCAUUUCAUCUGUUAUGGUUGCAGUAAAAAAAAAAAAAAAGUUUCAGUAUUCACCCCCUACCCCAACAUUCUCCCUCUUCACAAGGCUACAGAAUUAUUAGGUUACUAUAUAACUCCAGACUUCUAAGUUACAGGUGGCAGAAACCUGGAUCAAGCCACCUCGAAAGCAAACAAGAGGCCGGGGGUGGUAGCUCUCACCUGCAAUCCCAGCACUUUGGGAGGCCAAGGUGGGAGGAUCACUUGAGCCUAGGAGUUCAAGACCAUCCUGGGCAACGUGGUGAGGCCCUGUCACUACAAAAAAUACAAAAAUUAACCAGGUAUGGUGGCACGCACCUGUAGUCCCAGCUACUUAGGGGACUGUGGUGGUAGGAUGGCUUGAGCCUGAAGGGCAGAGGCUGCAGUGAGCCAAGAUGGUACCAUAACACUCCAGCCUGGGUGACAGAGCCAGACCCUGUCUCAAAAAAACCAAACAAGAGAGGAAAUUGGGGGCUCACAGUGGAGCCGGCCUUGGGCUGAUGGGAGCCGAGGGCUCUACCUCUUAUUGCUUCUUCCCCAGCCUAGAAACAUGGCAACCAACAACUCCUGGUUC